UACGUAGGGUGCAAGCGUUAAUCGGAAUUACUGGGCGUAAAGCGUGCGCAGGCGGUUCUAUAAGACAGAUGUGAAAUCCCCGGGCUCAACCUGGGAACUGCAUUUGUGACUGUAGAGCUGGAGUACGGCAGAGGGGGAUGGAAUUCCGCGUGUAGCAGUGAAAUGCGUAGAUAUGCGGAGGAACACCGAUGGCGAAGGGCAAUCCCCUGGGCCUGCACUGACACUCAU
rnacentral:rRNA from 1 species